UGUCUUCUUUCUUUUCCAAAUUUUUCUCUUAUGCCAAAUACUAGAUGUGUGCAAUGUAUGUUCGGCGGACGACAAGCACAAAUCUUUCUGGUUUUCUCUUCAUUUGCCUCACAUCCGUGCGCUUCUGGUCUCUUCCCAUCCAUCUCUCUACAACUCACUCGGCAUUCGAGGUUGCCGCCGUACGGAAUGAAGGAUGUGGAGACUUCUGAUGGUGGUCAUUCUCCCGUCUGAUGGCCGUGCCGUGCCCCGGUGGUACCGAUAUGUCGGUCCUCCAGAUCUUCGUGGACAACUGCUCCGGCUUCUACAUCAAGAACAUGGCCGCUCCGCUGCUCGAGAUCGUGGAUUCGUCCGCAACUCCGUGUUCAGGUACGAAUUUUUCGUUCUCAUCUUCUUCAACCUUGCUUGGGGCGACAUCUUCUCAGAUUGCUGGGUGACCAGCGGCGUGGUGCUGGACAAGGCCAUUGUCGCACAGUUCUGUACUGUGGUGGCGUUUUCUCAAGCACCAGGCCAGAGAAAUGGAUAUGUCGGUAUAUGACACAUGUGCAAGACCAGCCUUACUACCUUGAACAUGUUUGAUGGAAUGUACCACAAGUGGUAAGGCUCAGAUUUUUUGGUUGCUCCUUUUCUCUAUUUUUUUAACUCCUCAUCUCUAGAUUGGAUUUGUGACACACGAGUGUACCCUGAAGCUGCUGAGAUGAAUGCGAUAGAUGUUCUCUGAAUUAUUCUUGGGAUCUAUUUUUAUAUAGAGAUCCUAGGUACUUUGUCCAUGUACAAAUGGUGAUUUAUCAGAAUUCGUGGACAUUAUAAAUAUAGACUUUUAGUCACAUCGGAGGUUUCAUUUUUUGGGCUAUUUAGGGACUACAUGUCACAAGGUGAUUGUUUAAUGUAGCAUGGAUUCAAAUAUGUCUUCCCAUGAUUUGCAGAGUACAAAAUUAGGCUCAUAUAGGUAGUUAUAACCUCUGAAAAUUUGAACCUGAAUUUACACUAUAUUUAUGUACCUCUGAAGUAAGAAGUAAAUUGACAUGAAAAGAUUCUGAUGCUCUAGACAUUAUAAUACAAUUCCAAUGCAACAUUGUAAUAGGGUUCCACUUCAUCGCCCAAGCGUAAGUAUUCAAUGGCAAGUACUAUUACUUGAAAUAUUCAGCAAGAGUUGUCAUUGAUUUCCAACCUUCAAGAACAGGAGGCAAUCCUGGAGCAGUAAAUUGAACAAAUUGAGAGUGUUGAUUCGGCUAGAAUAAUCCUAAUCAAAGAUCUAAACGAAGCUCUUAGCGAACAGGGCCUUUGCACCUCUUUUAGCAUCUUCGGAAUGUUCUAUCAUGAAUGCUUAUUAUCUAGCCCACAAGUAAAAGUUUUUGUUUUGUUUUAUUUAUUUGUAACUGAGAAUAAAGUCAGAAGGGGAAGUUUGUUUGGUUAAAUACAUGAUUGUGUUAUGCCAUACGUGGUCCUUUUUUCAUAACCUCUUACAUGUUAUCGUCCUUUUUUCAUACUGUCAUGAACUUGUGAUCUUUCCUAGAAAAUCUCAUGCAAGGUCGUUAUUUUCUCUGAUGCUUUUUUCUGUUAUUGCCCAGCUAGAAGGGGAAGUUUGUCAGGUUAGAUACAUGAUUGUGUUGUGCACUUUAUUGGUGUCAUCUGCGUCCUCAUUAUGGUCCGAGCCAUUUCUCCGUCUUGUGGUGAUCUUGGCACCAUUCUAACUUAAUGCUGCCUAAGAGCCCCAUAAAAGUGGGCAUAGCAAGAGUUUUGCUGUGUCAAUUACCUGCUUUUUUUACCAACUUACACACGGAAAAAUCCCCUACUUCCCUAGGUUUUUUUUCUUUCUAUUUAUAUAAGUACAGCGUAGAAGAAGGCAUUAUUUGGUAUGCUUAAGUCUGGUACUUCAGUAUUAAAGGAUUAUUACAAAUCUCCUAACGAGGUUGGUCGAUGUGAAAUUCACUUUACAUUUCCUCUUAGUGAAUUCAAAUAGGACAAGUAGGCAGUAGGAGCAACCAAGUGUAUUAAGUUAGUCGACUUCAAUGUGUAGCAUCAUGGGCCAUUUCAAUAAGAAGAUGGAGAGCUUUUGACACUUACUUUAACUGCAUUGGCUUGACAUGUUGCCUUGAUCCAGGUUAGUGGGAUGCCAGUCAUACAAGUAAGCUUUGUCUCUGAGACAAGUGGAUCAUAGCUUCCCUGAGCUUUUCCUCAUGCUGAUCAUUUAAUUAAUUAUUGCAUUGUACCAUCUGUGGUAUGCAAACUAAAAGCUAAAGCAGUUAUAGGGGAGUAAUCUAUGAUUUAUGUUUGUAUUUUGUAGUUUCAGUGCCUUCCUCUAUGGUUCUUCAUACUCAGAUGCUUUGCCUCUUUAGUCCUGGCACCACUUAUUUGUUUUGAAGCACAUUGUGACGUAUUCAGAUGCCGUGCAGAUUGUUGUCAUGAAAUGAGUGGGUUUUCUGUUUAGCAUUUCUUCAUGUUUAGCUGAUUGGAAUGCUCGUGACUAGCAUGCUUCAGGUUUGUUCCCCGCAGCUGGGCCUUGAUGGUGGUGAUGCUUAUAUAAGAAGGUUGUUGCAGGCCCUAUGCUCGCUUAUUAUGUAUCAUCGUCAGGGAGUCUUUUGAGGUUUCUACUCGGCUAAAUAUACAAAUUAAAGUUGGAUCAUUUAGCUAGCCUCAUCGAUAGCGGUAUCCACUUCACUCUAUUGUUUCAUGAUACAUUUCGCACUCAGAAUCCGGGUCAUUGGGUUUGCUAUGUAUCUGCGGCUUAUACUGAAACUUCUUGUGAUAAUGAUGGUUGGUGCGUGCACGUAUCAGUGCUGCAUGUUGGUAGCUAGCUCUGGAACACACAUAUAUUGUAUCAGUGGUUAAUGCUCGAAGCCUUACGCUAGCUCAAUGGUAUUCUGCAUUGACAGCCUUUUAUAAUAGGGUUCCACUUCAUCGCCUGAGCGGCUGUGUUGCCUUCUCUGGCGCCGCAUCGGCGUCGUGGGCUGGAGGACGUUACUUCUGUGUUGGCUGUUUCCUCCAGCGGGGUCAGUUUUUCUGUGGUUGCGCGUGAGUGUGACUGCCGGACUGCUUCUUUGCCUGUUGCCCGUGGCCGUGGCUUCUUUGCCUAUUGCUCAUCCGGUGUCUCCCCCUAUUGCACAGUCUGUGCUUCGCUUUUCCUUGGAUGGGUUUGUACCCGUUUCUUCGCCUCUUGAAGCUGAUGUGUGGAGGAGACCGGAGAUUUGGUUGGACAAGCGGCCCGUCCAUCCUAUACCUAUAACAAUAUCAUUGACAGUAAUAGAGGUGGCAGUAUUUCAGUUCCCCUUGCUCCUGCUGGUUCAUCAUUGCCACAAUUGUUUGGACCUGGUUCUUCAGAUCUUGGUGCCUUUCAAAUCCUGGUUUCUUUGGUGUGUACUUCUUUUCAGGGGCUGUCCUGUAAUGUGAAGAAGUGCCAUUAGUAUGUAUAUUAAGGUUUAGAAAAUGAAUGGGUUUUGCGUUUCU